rnacentral:lncRNA from 1 species
AGGCCAGAAGUGUGCCAAAAAAUUUCAGAAAUGUGGAAAAACAUCAUUCUCUGGACAGAAUAUUGAACAGGAUGAACAAGUGACGGUAACAAAUACAUCGAUAAGCUGGUCAUCCGUCUAGUACCUUGCAGGGAUGUUGAGCCUUUCAGGUUGUGCCCUCCUUCAGAAGAUGCUUGGUCUCAAUUCUAUUCAUAUGGCCAGAAAGGAAAAUUCAUGGAGAACUAGGGGAAAAUACGGAGCAGAAGGGUUACUCUAAGCUAUGUUCCUGGUGAUAUAUUUUGAUGUUAUGGAAAAUUGGAAAACAAAUUAUUGCCAUGUCUGUUUAAAGAUCCAUGUGUCUGGACCAGAUGUUUACUCUUCAGCCAGUUUUGCUAAUGAGGAAAAGGGUCCUGAUUCUGUUGCAUUUUGGACACCUCCUGGAAGAUGCCUAACGCCUUCACUUGCCUUCAAACUAGUUGAGCUGCAGCUUGGACAACGGGGGUCUCAUUUAGCUGGAGCUGUGGGUGCAGAGCAGGACCCAGUGUUCUAGCACGUGCAGCUUUCCUCAGUGGGGAAAAAUAAAUCAGGCUCCUUCAUGGAUUCA